AUCUAUCACUGGGACUUCUUUCUGCAGCUGCCUGUGCCCCUUCUUCUUAGUCCAGGAUCGAUGCUGGGACAAAGGAGACAGCUUCCAGUAGUAUGCAAAAGAGGAAACCGCCCAGCCUACAGUCUCCUGAGUGCCCUUAAGAAACUUACAUGAUUUUUAAACUAUAAAAACCUACCCAACAUAGAUCUACUUAACUAAAUAAAAGACAUAUACCUUUAAUCAUAAAA